rnacentral:rRNA from 1 species
CCCUUAGAUGUUCUGGGCCGCACGCGCGCUACACUGAUGCAUUCAACGAGUCUAAAACCUGGUCUGAUAGGGCUGGGUAAUCUUUUGAAUGUGCAUCGUGAUUGGGAUAGAUGAUUGCAAUUUUUCAUCUUCAACGAGGAAUGCCUAGUAAACGCAAGUCAUCAGCUUGCAUUGAUUACGUCCCUGCCCUUUGUACACACCGCCCGUCGCUCCUACCGAUUGAAUGUUCCGAUGAAUACCAUGGACUGAGAGUAUGAAUGGGUUCGCCUAUUUCUGCUUCUCGGGAAGUGGAGUAAAUCUUAACAUUUAGAGGAAGGAGAAGUCGUAACA